rnacentral:misc_RNA from 1 species
UGUGGGAGUGGGCUUGCCCGCGAUACUGGUGUAUGAGUCGAUAAAAACUUGACUGACACAGCGCUAUCGCGGGCAAGCCCGCUCCCACA